GCAACAUUGACAUAUCUUGGUUUCUUAUGGUUUAGAGAAUUUUAUUUAGAGUCUUCACGAGUUAUUCAGAAUCUGGAAUACCUUGAGGAAUUUCAUUUUCAAAUUCAGAAAUUAAGGAUAUAUAUAUGUAAUACCGGUGGCAAGUGGAACGAAUGGAAAAUUGCUUCUUACAGAGAAACAUACCUUGCGCAGUUGUCAUGGAGUUGUGAUUGCCAUUGAUCCAUUGGCAGGGUUAUGUGUGGCUAGGGCAAGUGUUAAGACAUCAGCCUUUAGUUAGCAUUUUUCUUCCGUUUCAUGUAUUUUCUUUAGACUUCAUUUGAAUUUAAGUUAUCUUGUUAAUACAUAUUAAUUUUACAUGUGA